ensembl:snRNA U1 U1 spliceosomal RNA
GGAUUUCCCAGCAGGGGAGAUACCACGAUCAUGAAGGGGAUUUUCCCAGGGCUCAUCCAUUUCACUGCCGGUGCGCUGACCCCUGCGAUUUUCCCAAAUGUGGGAAACUCGACUGCAUAAUUUGUUGAAGUAGGGGACUGGGUUCACACUUUCCCCUG